GGGUCUGUAGCUCAGUCGGUAGAGCACUGGCCUUUUAAGCCAGGUGUCCAGGGUUCGAGUCCCUGCAGACCCA
rnacentral:tRNA from 1 species